AUUAUAAACUUAUUUUAUUUAAACAUUAGUUUAAUAUUUAUAAAUUAAAUGUUUAACUUGUUAUUUCUCCAGAAAUUUUCUAUAGGGAGUUUCGCUUUGUUACCCCUUCGUCUUCUUCCCUCUUUCAGAGAGUUUCUUGUUGCCCUCCGUGGGUUUUCUCUGCCUGAAAACCGUUUCGGCCAUCCUCUCGGAUGUAGGAUGUGGAACUAGGGAGAGAACGUGCAUAUUGUCUAUUUUAUCUCUUUUUUGCUUUGUUUGAGUCUUCUGAUGAUGGCUACUGACAGAUUCAUUUCACCCCAAACUCGAUGGAGUUUUUAUCGGAUCUGGCUCGAUCGAGAAUCUUCUUCCUUCGAGAACAUCCCCUCUUCUUCUGCAAGUUCAAUUGGAAACCUAAGAGAAGCAAUUUUCAUCUGUUCUUUAUCAGGUCAUGGUAGCCUUUUUAGACAUGGUUCCAUUUGUCUUCGACACUAUGAAACCUAGCUACCCCUACUUGUUGCUUUUCAUCUCUCUUCUUAUGGAUUCUCCUUAUCUGCUUGAGCUAAGCCUCCUUAUGUCUCUGCUUCGUGUAGCCUACCUGUAGGCCUCUGCUUGCUGUUUUUGAGUUAUGUUGGGCGCCUUCAGUGACUUGGAACGGAGAAGCAUUUUUUUGAUGACAUGGCAGUGGGAUGCCUCUAUUUGUGCAACAACGGCAGUGGUGUUGGUCCCUUCAUUUUUUGUAACAGCUAGGGCUUUCUAGGUUUUGGGCUCUUUGUUUAUAGAUGUUAUUUUUGAGUUGUGGCUUUCUAAUUAUUAAGCUGGCUUUGUGCU